rnacentral:misc_RNA from 1 species
UGAAGGAAGAAGUAGAGUACAAUUACUAGGAGAAGGAGAGGCUGUAUUUGAGAAAGAAGAAGGAAAACACUACAGGAUUCCUGAUGAAUUUGCCGCCAUUUGACCUGCUGCUGCUAAUUAGCGUGGAGAGUUUUCGGAGGUUCGAAUCUCCCCGCCAAUUGACACUAUUCCAAACUAGAAUGAUAGGAGAAUUCAAUAAUUUUAAUUUAUUUUAGUAAACUAAAUUUAGUUCCCAAAUUUAG